AUUGAACGCUGGCGGCAGGCCUAACACAUGCAAGUCGAGCGGAUGAAGGGAGCUUGCUCCUGGAUUCAGCGGCGGACGGGUGAGUAAUGCCUAGGAAUCUGCCUGCUAGUGGGGGAUAACGUCCGGAAACGGGCGCUAAUACCGCAUACGUCCAGAGGGAGCAAGUGGGGGAUCUUCGGACCUCACGCUAUCAGAUGAGCCUAGGUCGGAUUAGCUAGUUGGUGGGGUAAAGGCCUACCAAGGCGACGAUCCGUAACUGGUCUGAGAGGAUGAUCAGUCACACUGGAACUGAGACACGGUCCAGACGCCUAAGGGAGGCAGCAGUGGGGAAUAUUGGACAAUGGGCGAAAGCCUGAUCCAGCCAUGCCGCGUGUGUGAAGAAGGUCUUCGGAUUGUAAAGCCCUGUAAGUUGGGAGGAAGGGCAGUAAGUUAAUACCUUGCUGUUUUGACGUUACCAACAGAAUAAGCACCGGCUAACUUCGUG
rnacentral:rRNA from 1 species